rnacentral:rRNA from 1 species
CUGGCGGCGUGCCUAACACAUGCAAGUCGAGCGCGAACGGGGACUUCGGUUCCCUAGUAGAGCGGCGAACGGGUGAGUAACACGUGGGUAAUCUGCCUCCGGGUGGGGAAUAACUCAGGGAAACUUGAGCUAAUUCCGCAUAACGUGGCCGAUCACAAGAUCGGCUACCAAAGCUGGGGACCCUUCGGGGCCUGGCGUCUGGAGAGGAGCCCGCGGCCAAUUAGCUUGUUGGUGAGGUAAUGGCUCACCAAGGCUCCGAUUGGUAGCCGGCCUGAGAGGGCGGACGGUCACACUGGAACUGAGACACGGUCCAGACUCCUACGGGAGGCAGCAGUGAGGAAUUUUCGUCAAUGGGGGAAACCCUGAACGAGCAACGCCGCGUGGAGGACGAAGACCUUCGGGUUGUAAACUCCUGUCGGACGGGACGAAGGCUAUCGAGGUUAAUACCCUUGAUAGUUGACGGUACCGUACGAGGAAGCCCCGGCUAACUUCGUGCCAGCAGCCGCGGUAAUACGAGGGGGGCAAGCGUUGUUCGGAAUUACUGGGCGUAAAGGGCGCGUAGGCGGUCUGACAAGUCUUCCGUGAAAGCCCACGGCUCAACCGUGGAACUG